GUCGUCAGCUCGUGUCGUGAGAUGUUGGUUAAGUCCGUAACGAGCGCAACCCUUGUCCUUAGUUACCAGCACGUUAUGGUGGGCACUCUAAGGAGACUGCCGGUGACAAACCGGAGGAAGGUGGGGAUGACGUCAAGUCAUCAUGGCCCUUACGGCCUGGGCUACACACGUGCUACAAUGGUCGGUACAAAGGGUUGCCAAGCCGCGAGGUGGAGCUAAUCCCAUAAAACCGAUCGUAGUCCGGAUCGCAGUCUGCAACUCGACUGCGUGAAGUCGGAAUCGCUAGUAAUCGUGAAUCAGAAUGUCACGGUGAAUACGUUCCCGGGCCUU
rnacentral:rRNA from 1 species